rnacentral:rRNA from 1 species
GAUUUAUUUGUUCUCCUGUGACGGACAACAUCGGGAAACUGAUGGGAAAACGUCUAAGUUGCAGUUAAUUGAUUGUGACGUAAACGAUUUUGUGCAGGAGAGUAAGAUGCCAUCCUAUCAGUUAGUAAGUAGGGUAAGGGCCUACUUAGACGAAGACGGGUACGGGGAAUGAGGGUUUGAUUCCGGAGAGGGAGCCUGAGAGAUGGCUACCAGGACCAAGGUCAGCAGCAGGCGCGAAAAUUAUCGAAGCCCGCCUAGGGGCGAUAGUGAGGAGACGUGUAUAACGAAGUACGUGUAAAGAACGUGCUAAUAACUGGAGGUCAAGUCUGGUGCCAGCAUCCGCGGUAAUUCCAGCUCCAGGGGUGUCUAUGAUGAUUGCUGCGAUUAAAAAGUCCGUAGUCAAUCUGACUGACUGACCUGCAAUGUGAUUGAUUAAAGAACGAGCAGGGUUAGGAAAGCAGAGAAUUAGGAGCGACCGAGGGCUAGAGUAUUGAAUGGCGAGAGGUGAAAUUUGAUGACCCAUUCAGGAGUGACAAAGGCGAAGGCACUAGUCAAGGGCGAAUCCGAUGAUCAAGGACGUAGGCUAGAGUUUCGAAAACGAUUAGAGACCGGAGUAGUUCUAGCAGUAAACUAUGCCGACGCCGUGGUAUUAUUUUAGUAUUGCGGAAGAGAAAUCAAGUAAGGCUUUGGGGAGAGUACGCGCGCAAGCGAUAAAUUUAAAGGAAAUUGACGGAGGAACACCACAAGGAGUGGAGUGUGCGGCUUAAUUUGACUCAACGCGGGACAGCUUACCAGGCCCGAUAAUCGAGCGAGCGUAGUACGCGAUAGGUUAAAGAGUGGUGCAUGGCUGCUAUCGACAGUUGGGGUGACCUUAGGGGUUAAUUCCGGCAAGUAGUGAGACCCCUGCAGAUAGUGGACAGGUAUUUUUAAAAUACAGGAAGGGAAGGGACAAGAGCAGGUCAGUGAAUGCCCUUAGAUGGCCUGGGGCCUGCCACGCGCACUACAGGGGUCCAUUAUUAAGGUAGAAGUUAGAAUAUAA